AUUAAUUAUUUUUCACUCCAGACAAUUGCACUGAAGAGACUCACUCAGUCACUGUCUAGUCAAGUCACUGAGCUUAGAGCCUAUAGUGAGAGUAAAGCCCCUAGCUUGCCGAAGAAUUCUAAUCGAGGAAGAAACUAGGCUGAUGAGUGAUGGCUAUUGUUGCUGUGAAUAUUGCGUUGGAACCUCCAAAUGAUGUUUCUAAUUUUUCUGCUGAAGACAAUAAUGGCAAUGGAAUAAAUUAUUUGGACUCACAACUUCAUAAUGAUUGCUUAAAUGGUAAUGAUACAGUUGUUGACGAAUUCUUAUCAUUACGUUCUGAUAAAGAAAAAAGGAAAUUGUUAAAUGCCAUUAAUUGUAAUGGCUAUACACCCCUUCAUAUUGCUUGUGAGCAAGAGCAUGCAGAAGUCGUUAAAAUCUUAAUGAAGCAUGGAGCUAGUCCAGUUAUCUGUAAUCAAAGGGAUCCUCUUUACCAGUGCCUCACAAAUAAAAAUGGAGAUAUUGAACUUAAAUGUGAUGAUAAAUCUGACGAAAGAAAUCAAAUCUAGCUGUUGGUGACACUCAAGGAAUACAAAAAUCAGCUGACACUUACAGGCUAAUCUUAAAGGUUGAAUUUAUAUUACCAAUAGAAGAAUUUUUUAGAAAUGUUGUGACAAUUUUUACAAAUGACCUACAUGUAUUGUACAUGUAGAUAAUGAAAGUAUGCAUCCAGGAUUCAAAGAUAUUGUGUGGCUUUUAUUUUUUAUUGAUGUAUUUUCAUUGAAGGAUAGACUGUUGCAUUAUAUUGUGAUUGAACAAGAACAAACAAUAUACCCAAACAAUUAAGUCAAGUGUUCUAAAGCAGCUGAUUGGUUCUAUUUUUGAAUCAAAGAAUGAAGAAUUUGAACCACCUUCAGCAACUAUAGCGGAUGUAAAAAAUCAAAUUAAACCACUAUCAGAGGAAAUAAAAGAUUUAAGCACUUCAGUGUCUUAGGAAGUAAAGGAAUUACGCAGUUCAGUUGAUCAUUUGUUAGCCAUUGUUAAACAUAUGAGGAAUGAAGGAGAAGAAGGAGCUAGAGAAGUCAAAAGAAAAGGGCCUGGAGAAGGAGAAUUAACUUGUGCUUGAUAAUAUUCAGGAUAAGUAGAUCUAUAUAACUUUAUAAGUUUUUAAGUGUAGAUUUUAUGCUAUAGCUUAGCUAGAUAGUAAAUAUUUUUGUGUGCUGUUUUUAGUUUUAAACUUUUAUAUGCAAAUAAUGGUAGAACUUCUAUAUUUUUAAUAUUUCAAACUACAACUAAUUUAUAAUCUGUAUCAGGCUGAAUAAGACCACAAAGAAUUUGAAAAAUCAA